rnacentral:tRNA from 1 species
GACCUUAUCGUCUAGUGGUUAGGACUCUAGAUCUUCAUUCUGGAAAUAUAGGUUCGAGACCUAUUAAGGUUA